CUGGAAAAGCAGGGAGCAUUGUAGCAUCUUUCCUAGGGUUACCAUUGCUGAAGCUUUGGAGCUACUCUUGUUUUCUAGCAAAGCUUACAGAACUGGACAAGGUAUUUUUGACAAAACUACAGGCUAUUUGCAGCCACUUAAUGGUCGUUGGUCCGCAAUCAACACCAAGCUGAUUGAAUUAAAGCUAGCUCCACAAUGAGGUCAUUAACAUCCUCCUUGCAGAACACCAGGCCUGAACAGCUGAAUAGCGGAGUGAUUUAGCCAUCCUUCUGCAAGAGCCUGUGAACACGUAAAAUGCAUAAAGAGCAGAGAGCUACUGUGCCAUUCUUAAAGGAAAUCAACUGAUUGUUCCUCCAUUACACCACAGAAACCUGACGAUUUCUGAUCCUCACAGCUCAGUGCUUCCUGGAAGUCCUGGACGAGCCCUGCCUGCACACUACGGAAGAUUUUUCAGCAUACAGUAAACCAUCUACAAACUAAAGAUGUUGGUGUUAAAGGACCACACCAAGUAGCUUGGAUGGCUUGAUGCUUCCCAGAAACUGCAGGCUGAGUGUGUGUGUGUGCAGCAUACACUGUCUGUGCACGUACUUCUGUCUGGUAAAUGCCAGGUUCCACUCACCAUUGGCAAACGCUUACGUUUAAUAAGAGCUACUGUGCUGACAGAUCUUUGGCUGCUGUGAUUACACGUGAACGGUAAAGACAUUAUUGUUCUCACUAGUGUGACUUAGACCCACAUGCUUGCCUGCCCUGGCUUGUUCCAAGCCACUUGAGUUUGGUGGCCUGUGUGACACACAUUUGUCUCAUUGUUCAUCUGAGCUGAUUCAACUACCACCAAGCAAACCCAGCUCACAUCCAGUUUAAUCUCUCAAGCACUGACGAGUUUUAUUGUUCCUGUACCCAAAAUGAUACAGUGAUCUCCUUUAACCUUCUGAGUAUAUUUAUAUAUGAGAGAAAGAAGAAGAGCAGACUUUUAUUAAUUUAAGCUAAUUUAAAUAAUUUAGGGAGAAAUCAGUAAUCAGGGGCCUCUACGUGCAAGAGACAGUGCGAUGAAAUACAACAUAGGAGACUUUCCCCAGUGAACACCAUCGUGGUUAUAUCGACUAUAAACUGCAAAAACUAACAGGGAACAGACUAAUAUGCUGAAAUAAUGUUUUUGGUGUCUCUGUCUUACUGAUGGUGGACUCUUGGAUCUGUUUGACCAUCAUUCUACUGGCAAAUUAUUGGAGUUUCCAUGGUCUGCCAUGCUUAAGAAGCAAAGGAUCUUCUUAGCAUUAGAGAGCAAUGUCUCUUCCCACUGCACUGAAAUGUACAGCAGAGUUGAACAUCAGUAUCCAGUGCCUAGCAAGUAUGGUCUUUGACUGUGGUUUGGAAAGCCCUGGUGAAAAAGUCACAGAAUGCUAUAGGUGUGGGAAGGAUAAAGACCCGGGAAUCAAUUCUUUGCAUCUUAUUUCCUACUUUCCACAUGGCACUAUGUAAUUAUCACAUCAAUUGUUUUAUAUAAAGUAUAUAAAAUGUAGCAUUUGGUAGCUCUCAGUUAUUGAAAGAGUAGUUUGCAUUAUUUUUCAGAGAAAACUUACUUUCCCAACAAUCUUCACGACAAUUUGUAAAACUUUCAAAAUGUUGUCUGUACAAACCCAGAGUUUUUAUCAAGCCUUUCUAAAGCAUUCGGCUGGUUUGGGAAAGUGAAAGGGAAACAUUUAGUCAUAUUCCUUAAUGAAACUGUGUUUUAACUUGAAGAUGUCCCUUAGCCCCCCAAAUCCACAUAUGACUUCUGAGUUUGCUACAAAGCAAGCAAAAAAAGCAGGAAACAUAAAACAAACUUUGAUUAAGAGCCUGAUUCUGCUGAUUAAAAUCAGUGGCCAAACACUUUCUGACUCAGAGAUCAGACUUGAACCUCUGCUGUGCUGGACCUGCUCCAAAACCCACUAAAGGCAAUAGGAGCUUUUCUUCUGAGCUGGGUCACUGGAUGUCUGUCUGCCCUUUUCUCUCUUAAAUUAUAAAUCACCAGGAGGAGUUUAAUCUUGCACUUUUCAGUGCCAGUGUGACAUUUAUUUUAACUUUAGCUGUUGACAAAGCACUCUGCAUCCUGCAUUUCCCUGCUGGCAAUCACGUGUCUAUUCUAACUCAUAUGUUACUUUCUGUCAGGGAUUUUAUUUUAUUUGUCCUCUGCUUAUUGCCAUCCACUUCUCCAACCCUCCCUUUUCAUCUGUCCAUCACAUUUGGCAGCAAGAAAAAUGAAUCUGUUUUGCAAUACCAAUUUCAGUGCCACUUGCCAGUCCAAAUAAGAGUUGUGUAUCUAACACACCAUACAGGGUCUCAGUUUCUGGAUUUUGUCACAAGAGCUGUAUUUUCUCGGCAGCUUAUUAACAGCGUGUGUUUGGGGUGAAAAUUAGGCAAAUGGAAAAAGGAUGUCACAGCAAGGAGCUGUGUUGCAACACUUAGGUUAUUAUAUUGCAUUAAGUUAAACAAAGACUGUUUAGCCAUGUUAUGACUAUGAUUCUCAUUCAUUCCAGUCUCUUGAGAAAAUGUAUUUGAAAAGAGGCAACUUUGCUCAGUCAAUUUCCCUUUGGUCAAAAUGC